rnacentral:lncRNA from 1 species
UUUAUUUUAAAUCUUUCAAACUCUUCGAUAAUGUAUCGACACAUGUGCAACCUUUAUUUUAGCCAGUGUUUCCAUAGCAUUGCUCUUAUUUAUUUUUUUAUUUUUUUUUGAAUAAGCACUAACACAAACACAAAACCCACGACACAUCUCUCUUAAGCACACACGGUGCUUAUCUCUCAAACUCACGGCAUAGACUGGGUCACGGACCUUCAAUCCACUUCUACUUCACAUGGCAGCUUCCCAAAAAUUCACUUUACUGUUAUCUCAGAAUGCACGGCAAUUACCUCUGUUCAGAGUCAUCUUCGAAACUCAUCAAGAAGGCACUCAAUCGACAAUAGGCAUUGAGUUCAAAUAUACAUCCUUCAAUUUCAUUAUCCAAUCGUCAUCUAAGCAAAUAAAAUUCGAUGUAUGUGUAAUCCUACUUCUCUUUCUUUUGCUUCGAAACAUGGUGAUUAAUGUGUUUUUUUAAAAACAAUUGAAUGAUUAACGAGUGGGGAAUUAGAUAGAUGCGGAGAAUUUGAUUGUGAGUUUACUGUGUCAAAAUUGAAGCUUUGGUUCAGGUCCUAAUUUGUUUAAAAUUUAGGAAAAAAUUGAUUGCAUUCUAUGUGUUUGAUAAAAUGCCCAAAUAAAAAUUUAUGUCAAUUUUGGGUUCAUUUAGCAAUCGAAAUCAUUGGUACAUAGUUGUUUAACCCAAACAACCUCUGUUUGAUCUCGAAUUUGAAUAUGAAUAAGACAAAGUAUGACCUUUAAUAUGCUCGGAGAUUGUUCGGGAAAAGUUCACUAUUUUAUCACGUUUUUAGGUAGUGAAAGUUCUUGCUCUGCUUUGGGUUAAAACCCAAAAAUACCUCUUUCACAUUCUUUUAGGGAAUGUGAGCUACAUUUUCUUUAUCCAUUGGAUACCUGCUUAUACAAUGACAUUUUCUCGAGCAUGGCAUGAGUUUUCACAUUUUAGUACAUGAAAAUUGAUGUAGAGUUGUAUAGUUUGGAGGUAUUCUCCACUUUAUUUUACCCUUGUGUUUGUUUCCUAUUAUGUUAAUAUAUUCCUCAUUUAUAUCAAUAGGUAAAAUGCCAUCCAAUAGAAAUGCUACUGAUGAGUGCUCUACACUCAUGAUAUUUAUGCCACCUAAUUUGUUAUUUUGUUACUCUUGAGAGUGUUUUAGAACGUUUUAAUGUGUGUUUUUGAUGUUGUGAAGUAGAUUGAUGAAAUUGGAGGAAUUAAGCAAAAGUUGGCAAAAUUGGAGAGAAUGGGCCAAAUUGUACAAGAUCCAAAGUUCUGGGACUAAAAUGUAAAUAAUCCAAACUUGUAUCGAACCUUGCCAUCAAGAUCCGAGAGUGUUAGGAGUCAAUUGGAUGAAGAAAGAUGUCAAAGGGAUCAAAUUUAGGCAAAAUGUGAUCACAAAUCAAUUUCCAAUCGAAAAGUUAUGCUCCAGAAUUUCAGUCUCAUAUUGAGACCUAUUUCUGACUUAGUAAACGAUCAAAUUGGAAAAUGAUGUUUGAAGAAAAGUUAUAGCCCUUUGAGUUAACUUUUCAACGCAUCUUGAAUCAUCUCAAUCGGACAUCGAACGAAGAAGUUAUGGCAAAAAUACUGAAGGAGGCGAAAACUGUCAUUUCCACCCGAAGUGGGCGCCAUGGCGUCCAAGAUGCUGAAAACAAUAGUGAACGCAGCGCCGUGGCGUCGCCUGCGCAGAAAAACGGGAUUUUAUAUUUAUGAAAUCUUUUCUUGGCCCAACUCAACCCUAAUUCGUUCAAUAACUUCAAGAUACUAUAAAUACCAUUAAAAAGACCUAUUUUAAAGAGGGAUGGAAGGGGGUAAGAUUGAAGAAUUCAACCACACAAUUUGAAGGAAGCAAAAAUUGAAGAUAUCAAAAGGAAGGAGGAACAUCAUCAAGGAAAAAGAUUGAAGAUUUAUCCAAAAGACUAGUUUUUUCUAUCCUUUUCCUUAUAUUGUUUAUUAUAAUUUGUAUGAUUUUCAUUUAUUAUAUCAGGAACUAAACAAAUUAUUUAGGUGUUUGAUGUAGCCGAAUCGAGUAUGGUUUGAUGAUUUUAUAAUUAUUUCCUUGAUUUUUCCACAU